UGCUAUUUUUAUUCUUGAUAGCAUUUCUAAUAUUUUUUCAUAAUUUUCUUUACACAGUUUGCACUAAAUAGUGGUUUUAUUUUUGUACUGGAUAGAGAUAAAUUACACAGAAAUGAAAAACCAAUAUAUCAUCACAUAAGAGUCUGGUUGGGAUCUACAGAAUACAGAUUAAAGGGCAAAAAGUGCAGAGUAAUGCGCGAAAGAUGUAGAGAGAAAAAAAUGAUAAAAUUAUAACGCAGAGAUAACUGGAUAUUGAAAUUUAAGAAUUGAGAAUAAUGGGCAAAAAAACUAAAAAAAACUAAACAAGGGUGAUAAAGGCAGAAAAAAAAUUAAGAAUAUAGAAAUGAAAGGUACCCAGUUAAGACCAUCUCUCAUGUCAUCCCUGCCACUGCCAGUAGGAUUAUGGACUCAGUAGCAGAUUUUGUUAUUUAUAUAUCAAGUAUAUUUUCAAGGAUAAUAUAAAAAAAAAAUAUGCGGUAUGAUUGCCAAGGA
rnacentral:lncRNA from 1 species